rnacentral:misc_RNA from 1 species
GAAAUCUUCAAAGUCAAUCUUUUGUUAACUCAAUUGGUUGUGCUUUGGUAUUGGAGGUAUAUUGCAGCUUUCACACCCUGCUCCUCUUUGUGCAUUAGCUGGAUCUCGGUGUUAUGCUUGGUUCCACUCGGCGUGAUAAGUUAUCUAUCGCUGAGGACACUAUUAAAAAUGGUGGCCAAGGUAAACGCAUGAUUGAACCGCUUCCAACGGUCCAUUGACUUGGACAAUACUCUUUAUGAUUUGAUCUCAAAUCAGGUAGGACUACCCGCUGAACUUAA